rnacentral:lncRNA from 1 species
CGCUAACUGUCGCCGGAAAAUUCUUGAGAAUCGCUGGAAAGCCCGAAGCUUUUGAGCUUCGAUUCUCCUUCCUCGCUCGGAUACUGGACAAUAGGAAGGUCCGCCAUUGAAAGGCGAGUUGAACAGCACCAGUGCGCCGGCGUGAAGUCUCCGGACGCCGGAGUUAAGGUCUGGUCGCGAUCGCGGGUCGCCGGGUCGACG